CCUACGGGAGGCUGCAGUGAGGAAUAUUGGUCAAUGGGCGCGAGCCUGAACCAGCCAAGUCGCGUGAGGGAAGACGGCCCUACGGGUUGUAAACCUCUUUUGCCGGGGAGCAACGGGCGCCACGUGUGGCGCCACUGAGAGUACCCGGAGAAAAAGCAUCGGCUAACUCCGUGCCAGCAGACGCGGUAAUACGGAGGAUGCGAGCGUUAUCCGGAUUGAUUGGGGUUAAAGGGGGCGUAGGCGGAGCGUAAAGUCAGUGGUCAAAUUGAGGGGGUAAACCCCUUCCCGCCAUUGAAACUGGCACUCUUGAGUGGAAGAGAAGUAUGCGGAAUGCGUGGUGUAGCGGUGAAAUGCGUAGAUAUCACGCAGAACCCCGAUUGCGAAGGCAGCAUGCCGGCUUCCGACUGACGCUGAAGCACGAAAGCGUGGGGAUCGAACAGGAUUAGAUACCCGUGUAGUC
rnacentral:rRNA from 1 species